UUUAUGGAGAGUUUGAUCCUGGCUCAGGAUGAACGCUGGCGGCGUGCCUAAUACAUGCAAGUCGAGCGAACAGAUAAGGAGCUUGCUCCUUUGACGUUAGCGGCGGACGGGUGAGUAACA
rnacentral:rRNA from 1 species